UGAGUUUGGGAACUUUCGGAGGCUCGAACUUCUCAUGCUGGAUGCAACGUAGAAAUCUCUGUCAGAUUAUUACAAAUAGCUUUUCUUUCUGCCUUUAACUUCUAGGACAGUUUAUGUCUUUGACGUGGUUUAACUUGAUUUACUUUAUGAUUACUAACUUAAACACAACUGUAACUUGAAGAGUGACUUUUUGGGUGUCAGUUGUGAUGCGGUUUUUUCAAGGGGAUGAGAAGAAGCAUGGUUUCAAUGGACUCUAAAGAGGCGCCAGAUUGAUCGUUUGAAAUCUAAAGCGAAAUGUGAAUAGUGGAUUGUUUUGGAGCAGAUGCAAAUGGCUGAUGUUUCCUGACGGAUGUGUAAUGGCAUUAUGGAAAUCACGGACAUUCGGUGCUUUCGGUGGGAUUCAUUAAAUAAAUGGAUGAUGGUUGCAGAAGUUCAACUGAGGAGAACAUUGAUGCAUAUCUAAGAUGGAUCAUGAAAGCAAUGAGAUGAUGGAACUUUAAAGCAUGCUGUCGUCUUUCAAAUGUAGCGAGGAACACAGAUUUCUUGACAUGGACCAACAUGGAAGACACUGUCAAUGGCACUGAAAGACUCGGAGUACCCUUUUUAUUUGACCAGCUUACUGUGCCAAUCAACUGGAAUAAACACAUAAAACCAUCAUGUUAUAAACUCUGGUGCUUGUUAUCCCAAGGAGAUCAUUUUUGUCCAAUGUGGCGCUUGCGAGAUUGUCAGAGUGCCCGGCUAAUGUGCAAGAUUUACUUGUCUGGAGACUGUAUGCCUGUCCUCGGCCUCCCAGCUAUUGUCAGCUACAUGUGGAGACAAGCAGCGGUUUGGAAACGCUUGUACAUCUGCAUGUGCCUCUAGUUGUUUUUAAAAGUGAUGGUGUAAGGAAAGACACCCUUUCUCUCCCCGUGAACCUUCUUUCCUUCUCAAAUCCCACAUGGGUCCAUCUGGUUUUUGUUUGGCUAUGUCUGGUCCAGAGCUGCUUUUCAAACUCUGGUUGCAUUGGGGUCCAGAUGGCCACGCACACACGCAUGCACACUGUACUAUAAGUAGUGUUCAUGGGUCAGCUCUGAUGAGGAAGCCCUACCCUGUACAAUGAUCCUGAAGAUUAGUGUCCACUGGUGAAGCAUUAAACAAGUAUGAUCCAUUACCAUCCCACAGACAGCCGCCACAAAUUCAGCCAUGGAUGGGCAGCAACUUGGAGACAAACUGUACCUUUUUAAAAUGCCAGGCAUGGUUAAAAGCGAAAUCCUUGCUUCUGGUUCUGUGAGGCACUACAGAGAAUUUGCAAAUACAUGAGUCAAAUGCUGGCAAGGGCAAUUAACAAACACCCCUGUGCCAGAGAUUGAAAUACAAAGGCAUAAUAGUGGAAGGACACGCAUUAUUGGUUGACUAAGAAACGGACUUUAACAGGACAUGGCUCAGAAGGUUUGGACAAACCUCGGAAGUCCUUUGAAGCUAGCAUGAGGAUAUAAAUGUAUAAUAAAAAUGGAUUUUUCAUCUGUAGGUGUAUCAUCUUUUAUGAUUUCACGAUGAAUUGGCAAUGUAAAUGGUGCUAAGAUGUUUGUAAGCUGCUUUGUACAUUUACAUUCAAAGUGAUUCAAGCACAAAGUGUACUUUCCCCAGCAUGUGUCUUCAUGGAUCAAACCCAUGACCUUUGCGUUGCUAGCAGAAUGCUUUACCAGUUAGGUACUCUGGUAUACACAAAAGCCUGAUUUGUGGUUGAAGCUUUAUCUAAAAUGAGUCAUUUAAACAUGUUUCUGAUGUGGAUAAUUGUUAUUUUUAGUUGUAAUUUUGAAUGUUGACAUCCCACGAACUGCUAGCAUAAACAAUAAAUGAAAGUUAAACCCUGUGAGGUAACAAUAUGCGAGCUAUUGUUUCUGUAAUAAUCUGUUUAGUUGCAUAGAUAUUAAUAUUUUGUUUGUUUCCAUAAAGUCUGUCAUAAAUAAUAGUGA